UACAGAGGUCCCAAGCGUUGUUCGGAUUCAUUGGGCGUAAAGGGCUCGUAGGCGGCCAACUAAGUCAUACGUGAAAUCCCUCGGCUUAACCGGGGAACUGCGUCUGAUACUGGAUGGCUUGAGUUCGGGAGAGGGAUGCGGAAUUCCAGGUGUAGCGGUGAAAUGCGUAGAUAUCUGGAGGAACACCGGUGGCGAAGGCGGCAUCCUGGACCGAUACUGACGCUGAGGAGCGAAAGCCAGGGGAGCAAACGGG
rnacentral:rRNA from 1 species